rnacentral:rRNA from 1 species
UACGUAGGGGGCAAGCGUUAUCCGGAAUCACUGGGCGUAAAGGGUGCGUGGGCGGUCCUUCAAGCCAGAGGUAAAAGGCAUUGGCUUAACCAAUGUAAGCCUUUGGAACUGUGGGACUUGAGUGUAGGAGAGGUAAGUGGAAUUCCUAGUGUAGCGGUGAAAUGCGUAGAUAUUAGGAGGAACACCAGUGGCGAAGGCGACUUACUGGACUAUAACUGACGCUGAGGCACGAAAGCGUGGGGAGCAAACAGG